AUUGAACGCUGGCGGCAGGCCUAACACAUGCAAGUCGAGCGGUAGCACAGGAGAGCUUGCUCUCCGGGUGACGAGCGGCGGACGGGUGAGUAAUGUCUGGGAAACUGCCUGAUGGAGGGGGAUAACUACUGGAAACGGUAGCUAAUACCGCAUAACGUCUUCGGACCAAAGUGGGGGACCUUCGGGCCUCACGCCAUCAGAUGUGCCCAGAUGGGAUUAGCUAGUAGGUGGGGUAAUGGCUCACCUAGGCGACGAUCCCUAGCUGGUCUGAGAGGAUGACCAGCCACACUGGAACUGAGACACGGUCCAGACUCCUACGGGAGGCAGCAGUGGGGAAUAUUGCACAAUGGGCGCAAGCCUGAUGCAGCCAUGCCGCGUGUGUGAAGAAGGCCUUCGGGUUGUAAAGCACUUUCAGCGAGGAGGAAGGGUGGUGUGUUAAUAGCGCAUCACAUUGACGUUACUCGCAGAAGAAGCACCGG
rnacentral:rRNA from 1 species